rnacentral:miRNA from 1 species
GCCUUGCUGGAGGAAGUGUGUCACUGGGGACAGACUUUGAGAGUUCAUAGCCUUGCCUCACUUCCAGUUCACUCUCUUUACUUCAUGUUUG